CCAAUUGAGCACUGCCAUUUCGGCGAUUCUGAACCCCUAGAGAGUUUGGUGUUUGGAUUCCGGGAAAAUGGUGAUAAUUUUCUAGGAAAAU